rnacentral:misc_RNA from 1 species
UUAGGCUAUUCGGCUGCGCUCAGACGGCACUAUAACGGAGGGUUCGGGUCUCCCUGGCGGGCACGCGCCGGCGCGGAGCCGGCGGCCGUGUAGACGGCCCGCCAAAGCAACGAGGUUUUCGACGACGGGGUUGCGGUACCCGGCCGCGAGGCGCGGGCCCCUCUGAUAAUGAUCCUUCCGCAGGUUCACCUACGGAAA